rnacentral:rRNA from 1 species
AUUGAACGCUGGCGGCAGGCCUAACACAUGCAAGUCGAGCGGGGUUUUCGGACCUAGCGGCGGACGGGUGAGUAAUGCGUAGGAAGCUACCCGAUAGAGGGGGAUACCAGUUGGAAACAACUGUUAAUACCGCAUAAUGUCUACGGACCAAAGUGUGGGACCUUCGGGCCACAUGCUAUCGGAUGCGCCUACGUGGGAUUAGCUAGUUGGUGAGGUAAUGGCUCACCAAGGCGACGAUCCCUAGCUGGUUUGAGAGGAUGAUCAGCCACACUGGAACUGAGACACGGUCCAGACUCCUACGGGAGGCAGCAGUGGGGAAUAUUGGACAAUGGGCGCAAGCCUGAUCCAGCCAUGCCGCGUGUGUGAAGAAGGCCUUCGGGUUGUAAAGCACUUUCAGUAAGGAGGAAGAGUUGUGUGUUAAUAGUACACAGCUUUGACGUUACUUACAGAAGAAGCACCGGCUAACUCUGUGCCAGCCGCCGCAGUAAAAC